rnacentral:rRNA from 1 species
CGCAUCUGUGCAUGCAGCAUAUCAAUAAGCGGAGGAAAAGAAACUAACAAGGAUUCCCUUAGUAACGGCGAGUGAAGCGGGAAGAGCUCAAAUUUGAAAUCUUCAAGGUUUUACCUUGACGAAUUGUAGAUUUAAAGAAGUGUUUUCUGUUGAAGUUUUGGUAAAAGUUCUUUGGAAUAGGACAUCAUAGAGGGUGAGAAUCCCGUAUUUGACCAUUAUUUUCAGCUGUGUGAUACACUUUCAAAGAGUCGGAUUGUUUGGGAAUGCAGUCCAAAAUGGGUGGUAAAUUUCAUCUAAAGCUAAAUAUUGGCGAGAGACCGAUAGCGAACAAGUACCGUGAGGGAAAGAUGAAAAGAACUUUGAAAAGAGAGUUAAACAGUACGUGAAAUUGUCAAAAGGGAAGCGUUUGACACUAGUGUUGUUUUCUCGAAAAAUCAAUUAAAAAGAGUUAGAUUUUGUUGUGUAUUGACCUUAACAGCUUGCAUUUCAAUUUUCUUGCUUUUUUUAAUGCACUUUUCGUUUAACAAGUCAACAUCAGUUUCUUUUGUUGUAAAAAGGUCAUUGGAAGGUGGCUUUCUUUUCGGAGAAAGUGUUUAUAGCCUUUGACUCCUGCAAUCGGAGAGACUGAGGUCUGCAGCGUAGAUCCUUCGGGGUUAGAUACAUUUGUGCUAAGUUAUAGCUUUUUAUAGACAACUUGUUGACUAUGAUUAGUCUUGUAGCUUACUCGCUUAUGCUAUUUUACCUACGCUUAGGAUGUUGAUGUGAUACUGCGAGC